AUGUAAACAACCGUGUACAAAGCAGGACUUAAAAAUGGCUUUUAAGAAGUCGUUUUAAAAAGAGUAAGAAUAUUUUGAUAAAAUAGUCAAAUCUGUUACAUAAUCAUUUUCACCUUGAUGUGGGGUUGGUGAAGUGGCAUAACAUACCAUAAGAAACACAUCUUGGUGUUUCUUCAUAGACAACUUGGUGGCUUUUACUUAACUUUAACAUGUUAGGUAAAUCUUUAAUCAGAUUUUACUCUCAGCUUUGAAACAUUCAGGGUAUUUUAAUGCAGGUGUCUAACUUUUUACUUUGCUCAAGAAAUUAAGCAUAUAAAGCUAAGUCUGCUCCUUCUUACAUUCAAUAUGCUUUAUCGAAUAAUAUUUCUGAUGGUACAGCUGUUACUAGGGAUUCUGAUUAAACUUCUGGAGAGUAACUGCUUGAAGAUCAUAAUGCAAAAAACAAAACAAAAAAGAUCGUAAUGCAUCUGUGAUGGUUCACUGCAUAUUAAAAAUAGGUCUAUUAAACCUAUAAGUAAGGUUUUCACUUAUUCAUGAAUCAGUGUAUUUAAAGAUCAACUGUUAAUGAAAUUAAACCUAAGUGUUUGAUAUAUAUUAAAAAUGGCUGUAGUGAUAUUUUAACUGUCACACACACACACACACACACACACUAUGAAUGAAUGGUCAGCAUCAUCAAGUACCUAAGAUGCUGCCAGUCCAAACUGCAAUUAAAGUUUACACAAGGGACACCUGGGUGGCUCAGCAGUUGAGCAUUUGCCUUCAGCUCAGGUCGUGAUCCCGCAGUCCCAGGAUCGAGUCCCACAUCGGGCUCCCCACAUGGGGCCUGCUUCUCUCUCUGCCUAUGUCUCUGCCUCUCUCCCUCUCACUCUGUGUCUCUCAUGAAUAAAUAAAUAAAAUAUUUUUAAAAAGUUUACAGAAACAGUAAAGAAAUAUUUAAGUCCAAAGAUUCCUUCCUUCACAAAAUUUUUUGCUUUCUUGCACUAGUGUAUUUUCCUUAAGUUAAAUAUAAAAGGAUCUAUUUUCUGUUAUAGCAAAAUAUGAUUAGACAGUUGUUUCAGAUGUGUUUUCAAUCAGAUUGUUUCAAAGCUGUCUCAAGGAAAUAGACUAAAUGUAUAUUAUUACUUGGGCUUUAGAAUCUGUAGAAAGCCACCGGUUUUCAGUACGACAUAAUCCUACUGUAUAGACUAAAGCUUUAAUAGUAAUUAAAAUGUAAACGUUAUAGUAUUUUUCUUCUUCAUUUUGUAAUAGUCAAAUAAGAUUUACAUCUAAACAAUUUCAAACAUGCCUUUAUUUUCUGAAAGUACACUGACUUUAAUCCAGAAAUGUAAACAUCUCUGGAUCUGAAAAUUCAGUAUGUAUAUGGGGCUUAACAAACGAUUUCCUUGACAGUAGAUGCUUCAUUACACUGAAAGGAUCAGCGGUUCGCUUGUUUGUAACCUGGAGUUCAGAAUUCAGAAUAGGAGGGUUACAGGAGUGGUACUGCCUCAGGUUAGAGUUGAACAGUAAUGGGCUGAACCCUUUAUUAAAGACAUACUGCUUCUUUGCUAAGCAGUAGAAUUAGGGCACAAGAUACCAUCAUUAGGAUUAGAUGAGCAGUAACAGUUUUCCUGGGAUGCCAAGGCUGAGGCACCUACAAGAGGACAAUGCAAAAGGAGGAAUAAAGGGUGUGGAUUUGGAGGAACUUAAGGGCUACUGGUCUUAAAAGUUCAGAGGACCCACUCCUGUUGACAAGUAUUUCUUUAAAACGGGCCCACAAUCUUCAUUAAUGAACAGCAGUUAGUGUAACUCAAUCCAUGCAAAUCAGUCUUUGUAAAAAAAAAAAUCAGUUCUCAUAAAGUAGUAGGUAGGUAUACAAUACUCUCCAUUAAUAUAACUGGCUUUUGAUAUAACCAGAGAAUUAAAAAGCUUUAGAAAUACUGAGACAAACUUCUCACUCAUGAGAGGCAAUUAUUGCGAUUGUUAUUCAACAGAAAAGUGGUAUCAUUGUGCUCAUUAGUCUGUGUAGAGGAAGACAAGUUUUUUCCACAGUUGUUACUAAAAUAUAGUCUACAUUGCAGGAAUAUAUGGAAAUACAACAGCAGCACAUUAAGUCUUUAAGUCAUGAUGAACAGUUUAUGCAAAGAGGUGCCAGGUUUGUUGCACCACAUUUUGUAUUUGUAUGAAGAAUAUUCUUGCCUUAGUGGCUCACUGAAACAAGUUAUGUUUUCAUCAUUAAUUUACUCAGAAUUUAUUAGCGAACCCAAAGUUUCACUGGUCUUAUUGAACUAAAUUAAGAGAGUAGCAUAUUGCUAUUUUGGCCUGUAACAAUUCAGCUAUUCUUUUGAAAAGCACCUUAGUUUUUUUCAUUCAAUCUGUUUGUAUUUGAGAACUUUAAAGUUUGGAAAAACAAUUACUCCUUUUUUACUGUCCUACUGCCAGUAUGAGUUUGUCGGUUUAAUGUACUCCAGGUUGUAUUAUAUAGCAUAUACAGCACUAUCAACAAUCUAGGUCAAUUAACUUUUUGCUAUUAAUUCAGAAUAGGCAUGUGACUGAUAACCAUACACAUUCAUUACUCUGUUAUUAAAUAAAUUCAUUUUGUGAACAUUUUUCUAAGAAAAUCAUCAUUUGCAUAUCUAGGAUUCAUUUUUAAACCGAAUAGCAUGAAGAUCUGCUUCAAACUGCCCCCAAGGCAUAUUAAACUAUACCAGAAUGUGAAGCUACCAUAAAACGUCAAUAAUCCUGUCUCAGGUUUUAGAAGAGUGGCAUUUCGCAUUGAAUAAGCAUCUUGUAUUUUGUUUUUAAAAAAAAUCAUCAAGAAUUUGCUUUUUUAUUCUAUUUAAAAAAUUGGGAACAAACAUUCCUUCACUCUGGGCCAUAGUAACCCAGUGUGCACAAAGAGGCAAAGGCACAUACUGUUUCUCUACAGGGUCAACACUUUCCGCCAAUAGCAAAUCUCCCCUUAUUGCAGACCUUAGAACUGGAUUGCCAUUUGGGCAAGUCAAUCAAGAGGGCUUAGACAACAGCUGGGCAGAUUUUAAUGUGUUUAUUUCUACAGUUUGUUUUUAUUAAAAGUGUUGUGAAAAAGGAAUCCUAUAAAUAGUAAAAAGAGGGAAACAAUAGUGCUCCAUAGCCUGAAGCAAAUGGUGUAAAUACAUUUGUAAACAAGGUAAAGUUGCUGAGCUUACUAAAAGGACAAAAAUAAAACUAAUUACAGAUAGCACAACUGUUUAAGAGGUUAGGAAGUAUUUUGUCCCAAGUUUUGGUGUUCUAAAAUGGCCAGCAGUACAGGUAAUUCUCUAUUCUGUAGCCUUGAUCGUCUGUGCCUUCUCUCUUCCUAUAGAAAACCACACUGGAUGAAGCAAACAGUGACUCUACUAUUCUGAGGGGUUUUGAGAACACUGCCACCAAAACACAGCUGGAACCACCAGCCUCCUGGAACAUUAGAGCUCCUGAGAGAAUUUGAAACAGUCAUCAACAUUUUUCUCUAUUUUUGCAGGAAAAUACUGGAAGUAAACAGGGGCAUGGAAUUCAACAGCUGGCUAGGGGUGUUUUACAUUCAGUUGUUUGGAAGCAUAGGAUUCAGCUCCUAUCAAUCUUCUCAUCAGAAAACACAGAAUUACCCUAUCACCUCUUAAAGCACACUAAGACAAAAAGUCAUUUGAAGAUAAUAUAGUUUUUGCAUUAAAGGUCAAUCUGCAUCAAGAAAUCUGUUCAACUCACAGAUCUAGAGACUCACGGGAAAGAUAAUCUGUAAGUGACCUCUUGUCACUGAGAUAUGCAGGUGCUGAAUUUCUUAGUAGACGCUGCCAGAGUAAACCAGAUGUGGCUACUGGGCAAGAGGAGGGAAGAAAUUAAAUCUUGUCCUCUACAUGCAUAGUUUUGUUUGGGGGGUGAUGCCCCAACUCUGGAAAAAAGAUUUAACUGCCACAGAGAACUAAUUCGGCAGGGCAGCUCACUUUAAAUAGUAGCUCAUCUUUUUAAGCCUAGUUUUUACCAAUGACUUGAACUAAAAACAAUUCAAACCACUGGGU
rnacentral:lncRNA from 1 species